GGACUUGUAGCAUAGUGGCUUAAUGCACCCGACUGUCUAUCGGGAAAUCGUGGGUUCGAAUCCCAUCAAGUCCG
rnacentral:tRNA from 1 species